rnacentral:lncRNA from 1 species
AAAAAAAAAAAAAGACAUUGACCAAUGGAUUGGCUCACUGAAGCUGGCAAGAUCUAUCAAUUCUUAAAUUAUCACAUUUCCUCCAAUAUUUCUCCCGCCCUUUAAAAAAAAAUUGGGCACAACAACCAAGAAGAGAGCCUCAGUGAAAAUUAGACACUCCAACAACUCAUCACUUAAGACCUAAAAGGAAACCAACAUUGGAAAAGGCUUUGGAAUACACCCCAAGACCUGGAGGGGCCCAGGAGAGACUGUGGCACACAGAAAAGGGGGUUUUCCUCUGCUGUCCUGGGCUUUUUUAAGUGGUUCCAUUUUGUUGAAGUUGAGGUUUGUUGAGUGUGCAUGAUAAACCAGUCUGUGCUCCUCCCUUAACAGAUAUUGUCUCCUUUAAUUCUCAUACAACUUAGAAUGUAGGACUUACUACUGUGCACUCCAUGUGACAGCCAGGAUUCAAAGUCCGGACUUUUUUACCCAUCAGCUCACACAGGCUCAUCAGGACCCCAAGGACUCAGAGCUCUGUGCAGACACCUCAAGAAAGCCUGCAAACCUAUCAGCUGAGACUCCUCAACCCUCCCUUUUAGAAGAAGGCUGCACUCUGGGGCUUCUAAAAUGAACAGAAUUGACCUGCUUGGUCUCCUGCCCCUCAGCUCUCCCAGGGUGGGACAGAAAAAGUGACACGGGCAGAAGUCAAGCCACUCACCAGGCAGGGAGGUGAAGCACAGCCUGGUCAUGAACUCCUGGGGAGCUUUCAAAUGCUCUGAUUCCUGAGUCCCACCUUCAUCCUACUGAAUGAAUCUCUAGAUAGGGGUCCAGAGAAUUCUACUUUUUAAAAGUCCCAGAACUGACUUUAAAGAUUAGCCAAACUUGGACUCAAUAACCCUUGAGAACUCCCUCAACACUUAAAUUUUAUGACAAUCUUUUCUUUAUAAUGCGUGUGUGUGUGUUUCCUUUGCCUGUGUGUGCACCUGUAUGUGAGGGUACACAUGACAAAAUGAGCCUAGAAAAAUGUAGAUUUUGCUAGCAUGAAACUCUAAUUCUUCUCAUUAGAAUGAAAUCACAAGUAAUUAGAAUCUCAUGGUCUGCAUCAACACACUUAACCUAUUGCUGGAGUUGUUGGAAAGGGAAGUAAAGCAAAUAUCACUGAGCAUUUAUUCAUUGAUGGAGAGAUUACAAUGCAUGCCAGAUGACCCUUCUCUUCUAUGCUAUAAGUCUCAUUGUACACUGUACAUAUUAAAGUAUAGAAUAUUGGGAUAAUAAUGGGCAGAGCCAGUAUUUAAAAGUAGUUUCUAACAUUUUAAAUGCAUUAUUGAAUCCUCCACAUAUCAGGUCUGUGAGGUGAGAGUUAUUACCAACUUUCUUUUACAGUUGAGGAGAUUAGAUCCAGAGAGGUCAAGUCCAUGGUCAAGAUCAUAGCCUUGACCUUGCAAGUCGUGAAACUGCUCAAGGGAUCCACGCUCAGAGCACCUGACUCCAGAGCCUACACACCCCACUGCACUUGGCAGAUGGUCUAGCAAUGAGUCCUUUUUAUUUCCAGGGAGCAUCUUUGCUUUCUUUCCCUGCCUUCUAAAAGUACUUAGCUUUGCUGUCUCCUACAAGUGGGGCAUAGCCAAGAUCCUACAUGUACUUGAGCAUCCUGCUUGUCAGCAUUUGGCCAUUAAGUUUCCUCUGUAACAGUCCCCUUUUAGUCAAUGAUAUAUUCACCCUUUCUUGUUCUCCCUUUGGAAGGUGGGCUGAGAGUUUUGGCCCUCUUGUGAGAAAAGAAAAAUCAAUCUUUUCUUUUGCCUCUUUAAAAAUCACCUGCUCUUUGCAUAUACUUUAUAUAUAUUUCCCUGAUAAAUUACAUAUAUAGAUCAUAUGACCUGUAUAAUUAUAUACAACAUACUUGAAGUGAGCAUUGCUCUUUGGGGUGUAUGAGUUUUGAUGUGCUUUUGAGGCGUCUCCCCUUUCCAGAAGCCAUGGUUCGAAUACAGUGGAGGGAAGGUGCUGGACACAGGGUCAAAGUCCUUCACUGAGUCCCAACAGAGCACUCACUAAACAUAAGCUCCAAGAGAGCAGCACGUUUUCUUGUUCCUACAACAGGGCCUGGCACAUACUAGCCUCUCAAUAAAUAGUAACUUUUAUAGUUACUAUAGUAUUUUUCUACAUGGUUUUAUUCUACAUACAGAAUAUAGCUGAAUUACACUUCAAUAACCUCUGUGAACCUAAGUUUCGACAUCAGCAAAAUGGGAAUAAAUAUUGUCUGCCAUGUAGGGUUUAUGUAAAAAUGAACCUUAUGUGUGUAACAGCACAAAUAAAAUGUAAAAUACUUUUUAAACAUAUAGGGGAAUGGACAAAACAGAAAGGAUGGAAUUGAUAUCAUAGAGCAAAACAACCAUAUGCUUCACAGAAAUGUCACCCUAAAUCCAUCAUUUGAAAAUUACUUCACAAUUCUGUUCUUAUCUGGCUACCUGUACUAUUUUCCUGCAGAC